rnacentral:rRNA from 1 species
UACAGAGGUCCCAAGCGUUGUUCGGAUUCAUUGGGCGUAAAGGGCGUGUAGGCGGCGCCGUAGGUCGGGUGUGAAAUUUCGGAGCUUAACUCCGAACCUGCAUUCGAUACUGCGGUGCUUGAGGACUGGAGAGGAGACUGGAAUUCAUGGUGUAGCAGUGAAAUGCGUAGAGAUCGGGAGGAACAUCAGUUGCGAAGGCGGCUCUCUGGACCAGCACUGACACUGAGGCACGAAAGCGUGGGGAGCAAACAGG